rnacentral:lncRNA from 1 species
CUGGCCUGAAGGGUAACGUGGCCGGCCGAUGGAGAUGAUGAACGAGCUCGUCCAUGGAUGACCUCGCCGGAAAAGAGAAGAAUAGAUUAGGGAAACGAUGAACGAACACGGAAUCGCGAAAAUAAGGGCGUGCCGGUGUAGAGGAGAUCGAGACGAACCUCGGAGUGGUAACGGUUUCUGCAGAGGACGCCGGAGUUGGCCGAAAAAGCUCGCCGAACUUUCACCGGAAAAGUUCGCCGGAAACGAGAUCCAAAACUUCGGUGAUGGAUCUACGGAGCAACGAGCGGCGGCUCGGAAAAAGGGUCGUACUUCUGAAAUCAGCGCGUCGAGGGCUACGCCGGCAUAUAUAUAGGUCUAGGGUUUGGAAAAGUUUUAGAAUUUCUUAAUUUCGGGAUUUUAAAUAAAUUAUUUUCAGUUCUAAAACAAUUCUAGAAAAAGCUGAAAUCAUUUUAAAUUCCUGAAAAAUAUUUCCAAAAUUCUAAAAAUUAAAGGAAAACUUUUAGAGAUAUAUUGAGAGUUGAUCAAUCCAAAUAAAGUUUUUGGUGUCUAUAAAAAAGAAUUUUAGAGCAUCUAAAAAAAUAGUUUUUGUUCUAGGAAAAAUAGAAAAAAAAAAGCCCGAAAAAGUCUAGAAAAUUUUUGUAACUUAGCACAUACAAAAACAACCAACUCAAGCAACAAAAAAGCUUCACAUCAACUAAGCUCGUCUAAUUAAUUCCACAAUAUUUAAAAAGCACUAUUUUUCUUUGAUAACCGUAUAUGAAAAUCUAAACAAUUAUUGGCAAAUUUUUAUCCAUAUAUUAAAAACCUUCAUUUUAUUUAGUAUUUUCUAAUAACAACCCAAAAUUGAAAUUUUGGGGUGUUAUAGUCAAUGGCGCCGCCAGGAGCCACUGCGUUACUCACCUUCCCUGACCGCGCAAAGGGUCCUGGCGAGUUCGUCAUGCUCACCUCUCUCUUCUGGUGCUCUUGGUUUGGAAAACCAUGCACUCUAGCGCUCUAGCGGGUCACGCCGGCGACCUCCUCGCCGUCGUUCAUGGCGCGCCGCCGCGUAGGCCUAUUCCGGCCGCCGGAGCCACCCUCUCUCCCCUCCCAUCUAAUCCCGGCCGUCGAUCUUGAAUCCGAUGGCCAGGAGCGCUCCAUACCCCUUCGUGGGUCUUUUUGCUAAAGAGACCCGCGACUUUCAGUUAAUCAUGCCCGCAGUCCCUGGCCGGUGGAUUUCCUGAAUUUUCUAUAUUUAUUUUAAUUCGUUUAUACUUUGUAGUAUUUACAGUUUUGCCACUGAUUUCAUUUAGCUCAUAAAAACUUCAUUUUAGCUCCGAAUUGACCCGUUCAAAUUGCGU